GUGCCAGUAGAAAUAUUGAAUCCCGAAUAAAAAUAAAAAAGUGUCUUUUCCGUCGAUUGAAGAAGUUUGGUUUUUUAUGUUGUUUUCAUUUAUUCGAUCGAUAUCUUUGUCAAUUUAUCUUCGUGUGGAAUAUAAUCGCGAAAGAAGGGAGCGCUCAAAGUCCGGAAAUACUAUAAUGUUGAGUGGUCCGCAUCUACUGUGAGCUACCGAAGAAUCGCUGAUGUGAGUCGAGUUCGCAGCAGUAGUGACGUAAAAAGUAAAGCUCAGUUUUGGAAUGAUUUCCGUGAGACAGAGAAAAUUCGUCGUGUAGAGUCGGUAUCAGAAUGAAUCCCAGAAGUCCCGAAGGCAAGAAUUAAAAUGUCGAAACAGACUCAAAUUGUCCGCAGCCGCGCGGUUCGUUCGUACUGGAGAUAAAUUGAGAAAUCAUUUUUUUCGAAAAAUGAAAUGAAACAUAGUGAAAAGAAGAGAAGGAAAGAAAUGGAA